ensembl:snRNA U6 U6 spliceosomal RNA
AUGCUCACUUCGGCAGCAAGUAUACUAAAAUUGGAACGAUACAGAGAAGAUUAGCAUCGCCCCUGCACAAAUUUUUUUUUAAAUAAAAAAUUUCUUAAAAGUAU